GCUGGGCAUGGUGGUGUAUGCCUGCAGUCCAGCUACUCAGGAGGCUGAGGUGAGAGGAUUGCUUGAGCCCAGGAGUUUUGGGGAAAAGUGAGCUAUGAUCAUGCCACUGCGCUCCAACCUGGGCAACAAGCAAGAUCCUGUCUCUA
rnacentral:SRP_RNA from 1 species